rnacentral:lncRNA from 1 species
ACUUGAUCUGUUGGUGACUCUUGGUUCUUGUUGGUGACUCGAUUCUGAAGUAUGGUUUCCACAUGACCUUAGGUUCCAGAUGACUUUGAUUUGUGGGUUUCGGUUCCGAUGCCGAAGUUCCAAUCCUGUGCUCCGUGAUACACAGCCAACCAGUCAUAAUUGCAUCAUUUGCAUCAUAGCAUGUUUAUUUUCAAAAAAAAAUAAUGCAAUAAAAAAAAAGGGAAAUGAAAAAAAAGAAAAGAGAAAAAAGUGAAAAAACUAACUUGUACAUGCAUAUCAUUUCUCAGGUUCAUUCAGGAGUCU